GGAUAGCAUGAAGUAUACAAUUUACUCUCAAGAACCAGUAGAAGAAUGAUGUAGCAAUUCCUUCUGUCCUUAUAGCUCUGGAUCACCCUAGGAUAUGGUUCAACUGUCAAAUCCUAAUAGGCGAUCAACUAUGUGUUCACGUCAAAUAUAAUCGAGCACUAAAUGACCUAAAAAACUCAUUUCUUCUUUCAUUCAAUUGCC
rnacentral:lncRNA from 1 species